GAGGUUGCCAAAAUUCUUAUUGCUCCAUCAUUCUUGAAUGAUGUCGUUCGGGCUCUUAAAGUUGGUGGUCUUUUGAUUCGGGUGCUCCGUAUGGUGGAUGGGGAGAAAAGACCACCAAUGGGCUAUCUUUAUGAAGCUAUGGAUAGAGCGAAAGAGAGUAUUGCAGCAUCAUUUGAUGGAGAUGUUAGGAAAUAUGAGAAAGUUUUUGAGGGAGAAAAGACCACCAAUGGGCUAUCUUUAUGAAGCUAUGGAUAGAGCGAAAGAGAGUAUUGCAGCAUCAUUUGAUGGAGAUGUUAAGAAAUAUGAGAAAGUUUUUGAGAUGAUUGAUAGCAGGUGGGACAAGCAACUCCAUCUACCUUUGCAUGCAGCAGGCCAUCUUCUUAACCCGAGAUUAUUUUACAAGAACACUAGUCAGGAAACUUUGGCUCCAAAGGUGUGGGUUGGAUACCAUGCAUGUCCUGAGAAGUUGAUCCUUAAUUCAGCGACGAUAGAUCUAAUAGGGGAGGAGUUUUCUAAGUACGAACAAGCAGAUGACCUAUUUGGUUUACCGGCUGCCAUUAGAGCCAGAGACAAAAGGUCGCCAGGUAACUAACUUUAAUAUAGAUUUCCUUAUAACUUUAAUUUAAUUAGUACGAACAAGCAGAUGAC
rnacentral:lncRNA from 1 species